UCCGCGUGCUGAGUGCCGGGAUCUCCCCGGCCUAGCAAGCCGGGCUUGCUCUACCGGCGGUGGUUGGAAAACGCCGCGCGGAGC
rnacentral:tRNA from 1 species